AUUGAACGCUGGCGGCAGGCCUAACACAUGCAAGUCGAGCGGAGCGGCAGACGGGCGAGAAAUGCAUAGGAAACUGCAUGGUAGUGGGGGACAACGGGGGGAAACGGGCGCUAAUACCGCAUACUAUCAGAUGAGCUUAUGUUGGAUUAGCUAGUUGGUGGGGUAAAGGCCUACAAAGGCGACGAUCGGUAACUGGUCCGAGAGGAUGAUCAGUCACACUGGAACUGAGACACGGCCCAGCCUCCUACGGGAGGCAGCAGUGGGGAAUAUUGGACAAUGGGCGAAAGCCUGAUCCAGCCAUGCCGCGUGUGUGAAGAAGGUCUUCGGAUUGUAAAGCACUUUAAGUUGGGAGGCGUUACCAACAGAGUAAGCACCGGCUAACUUCGUGCCAGCCGCCGCGGUAAUAC
rnacentral:rRNA from 1 species